rnacentral:sRNA from 1 species
AUUUAGCCCUGAUGGAAGGGAAAAUCCCACACUUUUGGGUGUGGAUUGGAAUGACAGCAGGAGAAAUC